rnacentral:rRNA from 1 species
GAUGAACGCUAGCUACAGGCUUAACACAUGCAAGUCGAGGGGAAACGACAUCGAAAGCUUGCUUUUGAUGGGCGUCGACCGGCGCACGGGUGAGUAACGCGUAUCCAACCUGCCCACCACUUGGGGAUAACCUUGCGAAAGUAAGACUAAUACCCAAUGAUAUCCCACGAAGACAUCUGAAUGGGAUUAAAGAUUUAUCGGUGAUGGAUGGGGAUGCGUCUGAUUAGCUUGUUGGCGGGGUAGCGGCCCACCAAGGCAACGAUCAGUAGGGGUUCUGAGAGGAAGGUCCCCCACAUUGGAACUGAGACACGGUCCAAACUCCUACGGGAGGCAGCAGUGAGGAAUAUUGGUCAAUGGGCGAGAGCCUGAACCAGCCAAGUAGCGUGCAGGAAGACGGCCCUAUGGGUUGUAAACUGCUUUUAUAAGGGAAUAAAGUGGGUCACGUGUGACUUUUUGCAUGUACCUUAUGAAUAAGGACCGGCUAAUUCCGUG